rnacentral:rRNA from 1 species
AUACGGAGGGUGCAAGCGUUAAUCGGAAUUACUGGGCGUAAUGCGUACGUAGGCGGUUAUUUAAGUCAGAUGUGAAAGCCCCGGGCUUAACUUGGGAACUGCAUUUGAAACUGGGUAACUAGAGUUUAGUAGAGGGGAGUGGAAUUUCAGGUGUAGCGGUGAAAUGCGUAGAGAUCUGAAGGAACACCAGUGGCGAAGGCGACUCCCUGGACUAAAACUGACGCUGAGGUACGAAAGCGUGGGUAGCAAACAGGAUUAGAAACCCCGGUAGUCC